UUUCACAAAAGUUAAAUCACGCGCUCUCCCAAAAUGCAGCUUUUCACUCCCUGCACGACGUCGUUUCCUUAGUUUUCAGUAUUAUCUCAAUCAUAACAUUCAUCUCUCCCAACUCUCCCAUGACUCUCUCCCUUAUACGUGCUUUUGAUCGCUCCCACUCUCUCUCAACACUCUCUCGAAUCUCUCUCUGUAAGUGCUUCUCACCCUCUCUCGAUUCUCCGUCUCUCUAUCUCUGUCUCCCUCUCUCGAUUCUCCGUCUCUCUAUCUCUGUCUCCCUCUCUCUCCCCCCCUCUAUCUCUCUCGCUCUCUCUUUCUCUCUCUCUCUCCCUCCCUCCCUCUUUCUUUCUCUCUGUACUAUGCUCAUUUUAGGGUUUCGUAUCUCUCUGUAUAUCAUCAGUUAGGGUUUUGAUUUUUUAUGGCUCAAAUUUGUUCAAAGUUGCUUUAAUCUGGUUUAUAUAUGUUUAUAUGUCCUUUAAUCCGGCUCUAUUUUAGUUGUCUUAGUUGUUUGAUCUGUUUUAUGAGAUUUUGUGUAAAUUAGUUUGUGUUUGUGUUUUUGUUUGUGUAAAGUAUAGCAAAUUAGCUUGUGUUUGUGUUUGUAAAAUGCGUAUGCAUGGAUUUUCUGGGUGUAUCAGUUAGGGUUUUGAUUUUCUUAUGCUCAGUGGUUUGGAUUUUAUUAAGUCUGGUUUAUUGUGCAAGCACCCCUGCAUAAGUCUGGUGUUAUUAAGUUUGUGAUUCCGUUAAAUGAUCAAGAAUGGUUGCGCGUUGUCUAGUACGUACAUUUUCUGUUCUUUUUUGACUAGGCAUCCAGAGAACACUCCUAUAAAUAUUGAUCCAUAGCUCCAAGUUAUUCACAAAUCUUCUCAACCUCAUCUGCAUCCAUUCUUGUUUUACAGUAAAAUACAAAGUAAAAUAUCCAUGGCCUCAAUCAGUCCCAGAUCCCCAAUAGUGGCACUAGAGCUUGAGAAGAAUAGUUUUGGUCUGAUGAUAUUAAUCAUGUCAAGAGUACUUUAAAUUCUGUCAUCUCUACUAUUUACAUUAGUACUAGGUCUGUGGAAUUAGUUAUUGAGCUUGAAAUAUUUUAUUUAUACAUUUUAAUUCAUAAGAAAGAUUCUAGAUCCAGUGUAUUAAAUACUCGGACAGGAAUAUAUAACUACACAACCUUUGUCGAGCUUUUGAGGCAUUGAAUAGAGUCACACAAGCUAAGAUAUACAGAUACUACAUUUAAUCGUUGGCUAUGUAGGAAUUGAAUUCCACCAGAAACAGCUGCAGGUCCCUUUCCUUGUAUUUUUUAUCAUCUUAUAAUUAGGAAUUUAGUUUACAGACUCUGUUUUUUUGAAUUUGACACAUAAUUUAAGUAUCUAGAUAUUGUUUAUUAGAAAACAUAACAUCUGAAUAUAUGCUUUGUAUGUGAGAUCUGCGUGAGGUACUGCAUUCAAUUCGACAUCAGUCCUGUAUAGUUUAUGAAUGAAUCUGAAUAACAUCUGAAUGUAUGCUUUGUAUCUGAAUAAAAAUGUAGUAUAUGAUUACCAGCAGCAUCUUUGAUUAAGAGUAGUUUAGUAUUGGUUUUGUUGUAUUCAGCUUGUUUUAAAUUGUGAGCAAGUCAAUUUGAUUAAUAUAUAUUUUCUGCAUUCACAUAAUGGUACUUUGAACUUUAGUUAGUCACAGAAAGAAAUCAGUCAGAGGUUCAAGUGCAAGUGAUAAGACAACCAACAGAAUGUAUAAAGGCGAUAAGUCAUCUGUACUUUGAACUUUGUUGAUCUAUAUGUUACAAACUGUAACAUUUUAAUGAACUUCUGAGCUAAGUUCUGUGCAAGUUAAUGUUGUCUUGUGAAAAUCUGUGAUACUAAUGAAACUAACAUAUAUGUCAUUGGCUAAGUUGACUAACUAUAUAUAUCAUUGUUCAUGUAUAGGCUAUGGCGCCAAAAAAAGACAAAGGCAAAAGGAAAAUGGCUGUUUCUCAAGGUAGUACGACUCGUGGUAAGAAACGCCGCAACAAAUACUUGAUAUUUGCAACAAAUUUGCAACAAAUAUAUAUGUUACUUGAUAUUGUAAAAUUUGUUUUGAACUGAAUUAAGAUUGUAAUUUGCAAUUUAUAAGCUAUUGAUGGUUUGUGGAUAUAAAUGGCAAUGAAAAUGAAACUUUUUUGUGUGUUUAUAUAUAUAUAUAUAUGUGUGUGUGUGCUAUAUGUGUGUGUGUGUGCGCGCGCGCGCGCGAAGUGUAUGUAUAUGUUUCAUGUCUAUAUAAAUAUUAUAGUACUAAAUUUUCUAAUUUAGUGUGCAUAUAGAUCGACAUAUAUGGUGAUGGCAUAUAAAUUUUUAAUUAUUGCAGGCAAUUGCGGAGGCAACUAAAGAUGUCACCGAUGGUGAGAGUUCGGAGAAUGACAUUGAUGGGGAUGAUGAUGGUGAUGGCGAUGACGAUGAGGAAGAUUGAAGUGAAGCUACCUAGCUAGAUGCAUUAUUGGUAGGGAUGCUGAUUUUGUUAAAACAUUGCUUUUGGCUUUUGAUUGUUCAGCUGUAAUGUAUAUGAUUGUUGGCUUUUGUUGGCUUUUGGGUG
rnacentral:lncRNA from 1 species